rnacentral:tRNA from 2 species
GGGCGAUUAGCUCAGUUGGCUAGAGCGUACGGAUCACACCCGUAAGGUCACAGGUUCGAGCCCUGUAUCGCCCA